rnacentral:rRNA from 1 species
UGGGGAAUAUUGCACAAUGGGCGCAAGCCUGAUGCAGCCAUGCCGCGUGUAUGAAGAAGGCCUUCGGGUUGUAAAGUACUUUCAGCGAGGAGGAAGGCGUUGUGGUUAAUAACCGCAACGAUUGACGUUACUCGCAGAAGAAGCACCGGCUAACUCCGUGCCAGCAGCCGCGGUAAUACGGAGGGUGCAAGCGUUAAUCGGAAUUACUGGGCGUAAAGCGCACGCAGGCGGUCUGUCAAGUCGGAUGUGAAAUCCCCGGGCUCAACCUGGGAACUGCAUCCGAAACUGGCAGGCUAGAGUCUUGUAGAGGGGGGUAGAAUUCCAGGUGUAGCGGUGAAAUGCGUAGAGAUCUGGAGGAAUACCGGUGGCGAAGGCGGCCCCCUGGACAAAGACUGACGCUCAGGUGCGAAAGCGUGGGGAUCAAACA